rnacentral:lncRNA from 1 species
AGCAAGAGCAUGCAAAAAAAGCCAGGCGAAAGACUGUUUAAUGAUACUUAAUUUGCUGGAAGAUUUGUUUUCUAAAAAGAACCUCUUUCUUGGUUGUUGAUCUGUUCUAACAAUUCCUUCUCAUUUGGCUGUUUGGUGGAUAUUAAAUGGCAUUUUUCAGCUUGCUACCUCAACCAUUAUAUGGUUUGUUUAACUUUUUGCAAUGUGUUAUUCUGAUUUUUUUCUUUCCUUUCCAAAUUUAUCACUAUUUUUCUUUGUAUUGUAUCGUUGAGAUAGAAUUGUCCAUUGAAUCCUAUUGCAUCUAUCUCCCCUUUUCUCUUUCUCUUUUUAUCUCUGAUGUCAUCGACUUGGAAUUUCUCCAAAUCUCAAGAAGAGUAUCUGAUUUGGUUCUUUCGUGUGCUGCUAUCACUCCUCUCUCUCUCUUUCCUGCAUUGGCUGUUUCAUUUUGAUUCCCUUCGUAUAUUUGUUUGAUUGAGACUGCAGGUGCCUGAUCUUGAAUUUUUUUUUUCUUUUUAGAUUUAUCAUCCCCCGUCAUAACGUUUAUCUCCCUUUUUAUCUCUCUCUUUUCCUAUUGGAUGUCAUCAAGUUCGAGUUGCUCCACAUCUCAAGAACAGUCUCUGAUUCGGAUGUAUAACAUGUCGUUAACACUUCUUGCUUUCCCCUUCCUUCGUUGACUGUUUCUUUAUGAUUCCUCUCAUAUCUUUUCUUGGUCAAGACCGUAGGUACACGGACCAUGCAUCUUUAUUUUUUUUCCCGUAUUUAUAAAUAUUUUGUUUUGUUUUUGUAUUAUUGAGAUGGAAUUGUUUGUUGAAUUCUAAUGUAUCUACCUCCAAAAAUUUUCUCAAGUAGGCUUUAUUUCCUGUGUUGGCUGUUUUGUUUUGAUUCGUUUCAUAUUUUCUCUUGAUCAAGUCUGCAGGUUCUUUUUCUUUUCUUUUCAUAUAUUCUUUUAUCUCUGAAGUUAAAACAUCAAGCAAGCGUUCUAUCAAAAUUCGAGGUUAAGACUUUAAAUUUCUAGAGCUAAGCUAGAAGAGGAAUUCAGAUAAGUGAAGCAACAGCUUCUUUCUCUUUCCUUCUUGUGUUUGCUGUCAUCAAUUUUUUCUUUCAGAUUCUUAUACCAUAUUCCUUGCUUGUACCCAUACAACACUUUGUAGGUACCCUGUUUUUAGUAAACUAUGGUUUGAAUUAUUCUGUUAGUUAUUACAAUGUUGCCUCUGACUAUUGUGUUUGAAUUGCGCGCCACAAUAUUGGUUUUCAUCAUAUAGCUAUUAAUUGAUUGUGUAGUUCCUGAAAAAGUUUGAUAUAUGAUUUAAGAAAAGUAGAGAAGGACUCGAUUUCUGAAUAAUCAAGUUGAACUUUUGCUAGUCAGGUUAGAGACCUUAUGAGAUCUAUCCUUUUGUUGCAGUUUUCCAAGAAUCGGUAACGAUUCAAUUCCAAUGAUAUCCAGUGUCGUAGUGUGCGUACGGUCAUAUGGCAUUGGGAAAGCUCAUAUGUGGCGUUCCUUGCCUGAUUGGUUGUGUUGAAGGAAUGAGAGUGAGAUGUGUGGAAAAAUUGUGAGAUGAAAAAAAUUAUUUGUUAUUAGAAUUGAGAAAAUCAAGUAUUGUAAGUUGCGUGUCUGACCUUUGCCAUGGCGGGUGCGCUCCCAUGGCAGGUCAAAAAGUGUAAUAAAAUUCGUGUCUUUUUGGUUUUGGGGGGGGUGAGGAGAUGGCACGGGAUAUUAAUAAAUUAUUUUUGCCCGGCUCUCCCUAUCUCCCAUCUGUCUACCUGUGUACUUUUUUCUUUUUUUAAUUCUUAUAUUUAUUUUCUGACGACUAAUAUAAAUUAUAUACUGACGUAAAUUAUAUAAUUUACGAUUCUAACCUUUGUCAUGGCGGGUCCCCUGGCAUAACAGGUCAAAAAAUGCAAUAAAAUUCACCCUAUUUUUAGUUUUGAGGGGAUUGGGAGAUGCGACGGGAUAUUGAGAUACUAUUUCGGCUCGGGUCUCCCUAUCUCCCAUUUGUCUACAUGCAUACUUUUUUAUUUUCGCUACCUCUUAUAUUUAUUUUCUGACCAAUUGUAUAAAUUAUAUAUUUAGAUAAAUUAAAUAAUUUAUGUGUGUGACCUUCGCUAUGAUGGGUGCGCUAGCAUCGCAAGUCAGCCAUACAAAUGCAAUAAAAUUAACGUUUUUUUUAAUUUUGAGGGGGUUGGGAGAUGACAAGGGAUAUUAGUACAUUAUUUUUGCUUGGCUUUCCCUAUCUCCGAUUUUUGUGUAUGUAUAUUUUUAUCUCUUUCCUAACUUUUAUAUUUAUUUUUUGACUAAUUGUGUAAAUUAUGUGUUUAUAUAAAUUAUAUAAUUUAAAUUUUUGGCAUUUGCCAUGACGGAUGCGCUCGCAUGGCAAGUUAAAAAGUGCAAUAAAAUUCAUGUUUUUUUUUUUUGGUUUUGCGGGGAUUGGGGGGUGGUAUAGGAUAUUAAUAUAUUAUUUUGGCUCGACUCUCCUUUCUCCUAUUUGUCUGCCUGUGUACUUUUUUCUCUUUCUUAUUUUUUAUCUUUAUUUUCUAACCAAUAGUAUAAAUUGUGUACUUAUGUAAAUUAUAUGAUUUACGUGUUUGACCUUUGCCAUGGCAGGUGUGAUUGCAUGGCAGGUCAAAAAGCGUAAUAAAUCUCACGUUUUUCUUUUGGUUUUGGGGGGAUUGCGAGACGGGACAGGAUAUUAAUAUAUAAAUUGGCUUGGCACGGGAUAUUAAAAUAUUAUUUUGGUCAACUCUUACUAUCUCCGAUUUUUCUGUGUAAUUUUUUUUCUGCCCUAAUUUUUAUAUCUGUUUGGGACCAAUAGUAUAAAUUAUAUAUUUACGUAAAUUAUGUAAUUUACGUGUUUGACCUUUGCCAUGGUGGGUGCGCUCACAUGGCAGGUCAAAAAGUGCGAUAAAACUCACGUUCUUUUUUAUUUUGGGGGAAUGAAGAGAUCGGACGGGAUAUUAAUAUCUAAAUUGGCCCGGGUCUCCCUAGCUCCCAUUUGUUUGCCUGUGUACUUUUUUCUUUUUGCUAUCUCUUAUAUUUAUUUUCUGACCAAUGGUAUAAAUUAUAUAUUUACGUAAAUUAUAUAAUUUAAUUUGUAAUGUAUCAGAGUCUCUGGUCACUUUGCUCAGGUAGGGAGGGAAGGAGGUAGGUGCUUCUCCUUCGACAUUACGUUCAAGUUAGCUAUGCAUGAAUUUGGAAAGACUGGAAAAUGGUUCAGGGUUUUAUGGAUAACCUUUUUCCUGUUAAAAAAAAUUCCGAAGAACCAUGUCAUUUUCCUUGCUUUGAAGUGGUGCAAGAGAAAAAGAAAACCCAUAAAAGACCUAGGCAUGCUACAAAGUGGAAGACACGGUAUUUGAACAAAUGUGUAGAGAUUUAACUGAUUUUUCAACUUAUGGAUUCAUAUCUGCAGAUAAAAAAAUUCAGAAACAACAAUGGCCACUUUUAUUUUGUUCCUUUUGGUGUCAAGUAGUUACUUGCAGUAUGUUGUUUUUGGAAUUCCGUUAUGAUGGAUUUGAUGCUGCAUUUUCAUUACGGUAGUUCUGCUGUUUUCAUGAUUCAUAUGAAUCCCAAAUAAUAUUUGUUUACAUCAAGUUCUGAUUUCAGUUUUGGUUUCUCGACAUUUCAGGCCUCGUAUUACAUCAGAAGGCCUGCAAAGGUGAUAUUAUAACAUUCCGAGCUCCUUUACGGCUUCUUGAUAUGGUUGGAGUUUUUCUAAUCUGCCAAGAGUUAUGAUAAUAAAUUCUAUUAUGAGACUCCGCUAAUAAAGUAAGGAGGAGCUCUUUUGGGUUCUGAUCUUGCUUGGUUCUUUUUUUUUUUGUCAUGAGUUUCUCAGCUAACUCAAGGAGAUGCUCGUUUGGGCAAUAUCAUAUGAUCAGUUGCCUGAGUGGAAAAAGUUUCAAGAAAAAGUUUGAUUUGAUUGUAAGUUAUGGGUUUCCGGAGAAAUUAAAGUGUGAUUAUGUUUAGAGGGUUAGCUUCUUCUUAUGACCUCCAAGGAGAAGUUGAAGACAGAAAUCCAAUUCUUCUUGAACAUAAUUGGGUUUGAGAAGGAAAUUUUAGCUGAGAACCUGUCUGCUUGGCGUACAGUUUUGAAGAUAGAAUCUUUCCUUGUUACGGGGUUUUGCAGGUUUCGAGGUUGAGAAGUUGUAGCAGAGAGGACUUGAGUUUUAAUGAGGUGGUGCUUUUGACAGAAAAGGAGUUCGUGUAGAAGUUUAUAUCGAGGUCUUGAGAUAGUGUGGAGGAAUUGUUGGUAUGCUACAAAUCUCGUCUUUUGGAUUUAUCUUCUUCUUCUUCUGCUUCUGAGAAGGAAAGCUCCUUACUGACCCUUUUUUCUCUAUGCUCUUGCUCUUUACUGACCCUAUUCUCUAUGCUCUUCAACUCUAAUAUGCAUUCUUAUUCUGUUGUAGUGCCAUUGUUGGACAUAAAUUUAAAAUUGAAUGGUUAGGAUCGAUUUUAAUGUUUGUUGCUUUUGUGCUUUGUUAAUACUGGUGAUUAAGCACGUAUGUAUAUUUAUUUGCAUCAAUCCUAUAGGUAUUCUUUUGGUUUUUCCUGGAACCUUUUUUUUUCGGUUGAACAUGAAAUUUGAAGGAAAUAUGAGAAAUGUGUGAAAGACAGGGAGGCAUCUAUUGCCCAGUUUUCUUUUGCUGCUCGUAUUUGAUUUUUUUUUUUUUUUUUCCUUUUUGCCAGUUUUCUUUUAAAAUUUCACCGUUCUUCAUGUAUUUUUUUUUUCCUUUUUGCUGGUUGCUGUGUGACUUUAGUAUACACGCAUACUUAUACUUGAAGAAUCUAUGAAUAUUUGUGGUAAAUGAAUACGUAAUUUGAACAGUCUAUCAAAGUCCAUGUUGGUAUGCCUUGACCACUUUUUGUUUGCAUUUGAUUUUAUUACAUGAGUUCUUUUCUUGUUUACAUUGAUCAUCUACGUUAUCCAGUGUGUUUGGAUGCUCCAUUGAGUCUAUCUAAUCGGAGUAUAGGAAACUCAAAAGUGUGUGAGUUGAUUUGCAUGUAUUCUGUGUUACUGGAAAAUCUGCCUGCGCAAAGCUUAAUAUACCUUUAGGGCUUUUGCUUGGUAGUUGAUUAAGUUUUGGACUGCUAGAAUGAAUGCUCAAUAGCCCACUUUUUGUUCCUAGGAAAGCAAGAGCAUGCUAAAAAAGCCAGGUGAAAGACUAAUUUAAUGAUCCUCAAUUUGCCGGAAGAUUUGGUUUCUAAAAAGAACCCCUUUCUCGGUUGUUGAUCUGUUCUAACAGUUUCUUCUCUUUUGGCUGUUUGGUGGAUAUUAAAUGGCAUUUUGCAGCUUGCUAUCUCAACCAUUAUAUGGUUUGUUUAACUUUUUGCAAUGUGUUAUUCUGAUUUUUUUCUUUCUUUUUCAAAUUUAUCAUUAUUUUGCUUUGUAUUGUAUCGUUGAGAUAGAAUUGUUCAUUGAAUCCUUAUGCGUUUAUCUCAUUUUUUCUCUUUCUCUUUUCAUCUCUGAUGUCAUCGACUUGAAAUUUCUCCAAAUCUCAAGAAGAAUGUCUGAUUUGGUUCUUUCAUGUGCUGUUAUCACUCCUCUCUCUCUCUCUUUCCUGCAUUGGCUGUUUCAUUUUGAUUCCCUUUGUAUAUUUGUUUGAUUGAGACUGCAGGUGCCUGAUUUUGAAUCUUUUUUUUGCUUUUCAAAUUUAUCAUCCUCCGUCAUAACGUUUAUCUCCCUUUUUAUCUCUCUCUUUUCCUAAUGGAUGUCAUCAACUUCGAGUUGCUC